AAAAAGCUCGUAGUUGGUUCUGCGUACUACGCUGUCGGUUCGCCGCCUGCCGGUGUAACUGGCAUGCCGUGGUAUGUCCUGUCGGUGGCGUGCGGAGCUUCGUCUAGGCGACGGCCCGAUCCGCAAGGAGAGGUGUCCGUAGGCCGGAGGCCCAACCCGUUCGCCUACUUUAUCCUACCUAGGUGCUCUUUACCGAGUGUCGAGGUAGGCCGACACGUUUACUUUGAACAAAUUAGAGNGCUCAAAGCAGGCUGAAAUUUCUGCCUGAAUAGUGGUGCAUGGAAUAAUAAAACAGGACCUUGGUUCUAUUUUGUUGGUUCUUAGGAACACAAGGUAAUGAUCAAUACGGACAGGCGGGGGCAUUCGUAUUGCGACGUUAGAGGUGAAAUUCUUGGAUCGUCGCAAGACGCACAAGAGCGAAAGCAUUUGCCAAGUAUGUCUUGAUUGAUCAAGAACGAAAGUUAGAGGUUCGAAGGCGAUCAGAUACCGCCCUAGUUCUAACCAUAAACGAUGCCAGCCAGCGAUCCGCCGAUGUUCCUCCGAUGACUCGGCGGGGAGCUUCUUCCCGGGAAACCAAAGCUUUUGGGUUCCGGGGGAAGUAUGGUUGCAAAGCUGAAACUUAAAGGAAUUGACGGAAGGGCACCACCAGGAGUGGAGCCUGCGGCUUAAUUUGACUCAACACGGGAAACCUCACCAGGCCAGGACAUUGGAAGGAUUGACAGAUUGAUAGCUCUUUCUUGAUUCAGUGGGUAGUGGUGCAUGGCCGUUCUUAGUUGGUGGAUCGAUUUGUCUGGUUAAUUCCGAUAACGAACGAGACUCUAGCCUAUUAACUAGGCGUUUCCGGUGCCCUCGUCACCGGCGACACUCAUUCUUCUUAAGGGGACAGGCGGCUUAUAGCCGCACGAGAUUGAGCAAUAACAGGUCUGUGAUGCCCUUAGAUGUCCUGGGCCGCACGCGCGCUACACUGAAGGAAUCAGCGUGUGCCUCCCUGGCCGAAAGGCCCGGGUAAUCCGCUGAACCUCCUGCGUGCUAGGAAUUGGGGCUUGCAAUUGUUCCCCAUGAACGAGGAAUUCCCAGUAAGCGCGAGUCAUAAGCUCGCGUUGAUUACGUCCCUGCCCUUUGUACACACCGCCCGUCGCUACUACCGAUUGAAUGAUUUAGUGAGGUCUUCGGACUGGCGGUAAUCCCUAUCGACUUGUCGGUAUCGAUGAACGCUGGAAAGAUGACCAAACUUGAUCAUUUAGAGGAAGUAAAAGUCGUAACAAGGUUUCC
rnacentral:rRNA from 1 species